GGUCGAGUAGGUCGAAUGAUGUCUCACGGCUGUCUCACUUUUUUUAUUAUUUUUGAUUUUUUUACUCUACUCAGAUGUCAGAAUUUUAGGCCAAAAAAAAAGGA
rnacentral:ribozyme from 1 species